AACGAACGCUGGCGGCAUGCCUAACACAUGCAAGUCGAACGAGACCUUCGGGUCUAGUGGCGCACGGGUGCGUAACGCGUGGGAAUCUGCCCUUCGGUUCGGAAUAACUCAGGGAAACUUGAGCUAAUACCGGAUGAUGACUUCGGUCCAAAGAUUUAUCGCCGAGGGAUGAGCCCGCGUCGGAUUAGCUAGUUGGUGAGGUAAAGGCUCACCAAGGCGACGAUCCGUAGCUGGUCUGAGAGGAUGAUCAGCCACACUGGGACUGAGACACGGCCCAGACUCCUACGGGAGGCAGCAGUGGGGAAUAUUGGACAAUGGGCGCAAGCCUGAUCCAGCAAUGCCGCGUGAGUGAUGAAGGCCCUAGGGUUGUAAAGCUCUUUUACCCGGGAUGAUAAUGACAGUACCGGGAGAAUAAGCCCCGGCUAACUCCGUGCCAGCAGCCGCGGUAAUACGGAGGGGGCUAGCGUUGUUCGGAAUUACUGGGCGUAAAGCGCACGGU
rnacentral:rRNA from 1 species